rnacentral:lncRNA from 1 species
CUUUCCUUUCUAAUAGCUUUUAAGAUUGUUCCCUUUAUCUUCAAUUGUCUGCAGUCUCAUCUGCUGCAUUAUAGCAAUUUAAAAGGCUGUGUCUUCCAACUAAGGACUUGUGUUUUUUUGAAACGGAGUCUUGCUCUGUCACCCAGGCUGGAGGGCUGCGGUGCGAUCUUGGUUCACUGCAACCGCCGCCUCCCAAGUUCAAGGAAUUC